rnacentral:tRNA from 1 species
UACAAGAAGCUCAAUGGUAGAGCAUUUGCCUAGCAUGCACAAGGUUCUGGGUUCAAUUCCCAGCACUGGGAA